AUAGCGCAUAGUGAAUAUUGGGGCUUACAUAAGUAAGUCGCAAUCGAUGUUUGAAGCUUCUAAGACGCUUGCUCGUUUGGUUAUAAAAUCAAAAGGAUUAUAUUUUGGUAAUAAUGGAAUUAUCUUAAAUGGAAAUGUGAUUUUAUAUAACGAACGCUUAAGUGUUUACUCAAUCUUACUAAUGGAAUCAAAUCUCGAGUUGCUACUAUAAUCGCAAGUACUCCACAGUAAAAUGUUUUCGAAACUCACAGUUGCUCAUUCUUGCCAUCGAAUUGCCAGUUUCAUCUCAGGCUCAACGUCGGCAAAGGCCUCGGGACAAAAGUCAAACUGCGUAUGCAUAAUAAAAUUUUGAAAUGCCAAUUUAAUAAUGCUUAAUGGCAAAAAUCAUUUUUGGUAAUAAAUUUAUAAGCACAUCCCAAGCAAUAUGACGAGGCUGCGUUCGUGCUUCCUUCCCCUGCUCAUGGCCUCCUCGUCUCUGUGGCUGUCUGUGACUGUUUGUGUGUGUGUGUGCCCUUGGGGCAAGCACUCAAGUUGAAGCUGUAGCAUACUUCUAGGCAGUGGCAAAGAGUCUUGUGGCAAAUAUUUACCUUUUG